ACGUUCCUUUCUUUACUCGACACUCAUUUCCGGACGUCGCAAUGGAAAAACACUAGACACUCCCGUCCUUCCUCGUUAGGCUAUUUCGUAAUGCACAAUAUACAUACGAGUAUCACGUGAAAGAAAGAUGAGAUCUGGACAGGCGCACGUUAUCAAGGUAGUACCACUGGUACUUAACCUAUACCUUAGGAGAUUCCCAAUAUAAUCAUUGUCACCAGGGGCAGAUUUCUUUAGCAAAGAAUUUUAUUCAUACGCGGAGGAACACAAUUACCGAGUCAAUUCUCGUUCGGUCGUUCCUAGUUUGCGAACGGUGUCACGUAACUUUCUACUUGCGCCGUGCAAAAACGGCUGCGGUCGACAGCAGGCAUGGAGACGGCCAUUCAGGCAUUCAGGCAGUGAGCCGAGGUAUAUCGUAUAAACUACAGGUAGAAUCGCGUAUGCUUUCCCAAGAGAGUCAAGAGUCCCGUAUUUUCCUCCCCGGGGGUCAAUUGUCAACCUCAUCUCUUUUACAUUUUUUUUACAUACCUUCCGGCAGUACAACAACGUCCCGAAUACCCGAUGCCAAAGCGCUAAAUUGUUUUCUGAUGUUUUUCAUCUGUGUCGUAACUAGAGUUUCUAGACGUCUUCUCGAUGCCUGUGCUAAUAAUGUUCGAAGGAGUCUACACUGUAAGGUUAUGUUGGACUGUCUGGUUUACCAGCUUAUCCUUCCUGUCGCAGUCUCAUGGAAACGAGAUCGUACGAUCCGCGCGCUCUCACUUCGCUACCGUCGUGACUGCUACGCUGGUAGAUGAAAAGAAAAGGAAAAAAAAAGAAGGAAGAUGGCGAACCUUAGGCUCCUACACCUUCUCUAUGUCUGAUACACGACAGAUUAGACAUACGUUAGAAAAUACUACAUGACACCGUACGCGAAUAGUACUGAGACUGGUACAACGUGAUUCCCUGCUGCAUUUAUCGACACUCGUUGGCUUCUCACUUCGAAACUAAUGGAGAUAUCGACUUCCGCUUGGCGCCGUACACGCUUUCUAGGGUCAUUUUGCGCUGACCUCUCCUGAGCCGUGUGUGCAAACAAUGCAAAUGAGAGUUGCGACUAUACGACAGCCAUUAGAGGUACCAUCCAUUUGAGAUCGUAGAACGCUUUUACCCGGUGUCUCGCCAAGUUUCCAUCGUACGAACCGUGACGUAUCAAUUACACCGAUGUGGGUCACUAUCGAAGAAUCGUCAGUGAGGUACAAAAUUGCAGAUAGAUUAAAAGAAGUCAUCGAUAUCCAAAAGAGAAAAUAACGUCUGGUAAGACCGUACGCAGCAAAUGGAAAAUUUCAAAGAGUCACCUCGCUCAUCUUGUUCGCGCGUUACGCGAAAUUACACGCGCGCCUGGAGCCUGCGACGGGCUGAGCUUGUUUACGGUACUCGCGUGACUCGAAGAGAAACAAAAGUACUCGACGGAGACACCAUGGAAAAGCUGACCUAACGCAAGACGAUACUUACGCCGCGAUGGCAAAAUAAAUAUUCGUUCGAUCGUCCAGCCUAUAAAAGAGAACAAUCUGCGCUUGUUCAAAGAUGACGUCAGCGCUUGAAAUCGCGUGAUAGGAAGUUAUGAGAAACGGCGAGAAAGUAACCAGGCUAAAGCGUCAUUCUAUUCCCUACACUAUGCAUUAGCGUACAGGGUAUGUACGGUCUGUAGCACCUAUCGAUCGACAUACCGUACCAACAUCGACGCUUGGACCUUGGCCAUCCUUCGUAUGCGUUCAUUCUUAUUCUUAUCCCGUUAAAUUAUAUUCAAUAGUCUAGUUAUACAAUUCCAGUCAACCUCCAGCAAUGUUUGCAGUAGGGAGCACGUAGUGCGUGCAAGAGUAACGGAGAAAGGCAGAAGGUUUCUUUGCAAUAAUGACAAAUCAAAGGAUCGGCUGCCAAUGUCGGUCAGUCGAUACGAUUCUGGGUCGCACGAGACUUCAAGCGUUAUUCACACGAGGACCGAGUAAAUGUUCAAGGGCAACGUAACGUUGAGUAUAUUUAAAGAAGUUCCCCCCCUCUUAUCAGGGGUGAAAGGAGGUGGAGAGCGGAAGCGAAGUGGGUUCAUUGAAAAAUCACGCGAAAGAAUAAUAAAAACGGCUCAGUUCGAGCGAGCAAAGUUAAUAAAAAUCAAUGAAAGGAUCAUUCAUAAAAUGCAACGAGUAUUUAAUAAUGCAAAUCGUUAGACCUUGUGCGCCUUACCUGGAUGACAGUGUUUACACUGUAUGGGAGCCAACUUCACGACGGAGAUGAAAAGUUCGAGAAGUGGUUGCGCACGCGCGACAAGGGCAGGGUAAUUUUUUUUAAACCCACCUACGUACACAUAACUCCAGCAGGAUGCAUGAACGUCGCAAACUGAUGGAUAUUAAAUUUCGCAUUGCCAUGCACGACGUAUCUCGAGGAUAGCCGCGUCGCCAGUGCAAUCCGACUGUAGAAUGCAGAUAGGUCGUAUCGCCGGUAGGGGGCUUCCGCGUGCGUUACAUUCUACAUUGAAGAUUGUAGAGGGAGUACUCGGAUGACCGUAGUUUUGUCGUCGGCGAUUGCGUAACGAAGUACGUAUAUACACGAGAGACAAUUUAUUCCGUAUCAGAGGAGGGUAAACGAUCGAUCCGUUGAUGGAAACCCGGUAGCGUCACAAUGACAGAUAGGCCCACUACGGAAAACGAUAGCAUACGAAAUGGCAACGGUACGAUAAAGGUUAGAAGACCAGCACGUGACCUGGACAACGUUACCGCAUUGGGGGAUACUUUCCGGUGGUCGAAAAAUAGUCGUGACCCAAAGCAUAUAUACAUAUACAUAUAUAUACAUAUAUAUAUAUAUAUAUACAUAUAUAUAUAUAUAUAUACAUAUAUAUAUAUACAUAUAUAUGUAUAUUGUACGCUUUAAUCAUAUGAACGCGAGAGAGGCAGUACCUACGGCUGACGAGAGAGACGGAUAUAUACAGUGACGUGUUGGUACGAGGGUCAGGUAAUGGACCGCCCGAGCAUUUUUGCGCUCAACAACAAGUCAUGUAUCGUAUGCCGUUUACGAAUGGCGGCACGCGAGCCAGCCGCACAACGAUUUCAAUUCUGUGUUCCGAGUGUGAGUCACGUCCGCGAAUAACCGAGUGACUGGCCUACGGCUCUAUUCACGCUGGGCUACUCCUUCUUCCUGACAAGGAGCGUUAUAGGGAACUAAGAGAAAUUAUUAUACAUAUGUUGAUACGAUCCAAGCUAUUGUUAUAUUACACAAAGUCUCCGGUCUCGAUCGAUCGAUUGGAUCAAUUAACUUUGGUAUGCUCUUCGAUAUCGUUGCCAGAGGACAAUGUUUUUUUUUCUUCAGUUUUUUUCCUCUUUACGAACUCAUCGAUGUUAUUACCAGGAGACCCGUGGUAAAUUACAAACGUGAGCAUCACGUGAUUCGAACAGACUCUCCGAACGUGGACAGAGGUCUCAGCCCUUUCGCUACUUUUACUCGUAACCUCGACGUGCUCGCAUUCAUCUACCGUAUCUCGAAUCUUCUUCAAACUGUGGAAAGAUGCUCAAGUUCCAGUUGGCUACUCCCGAGGACCGUAAGGUCGCAGCCUCCAUAGAACGCAGAAGACGAAUAGAGGAAGCAAGAAAAGCACAUAUCUUCGAUCCUCGUUCCAGGCGAAUUGGGAUCGACAAGGACUUCUUGGACAGGCAAAUAGAGGAAAAGAAGCAGCAGCGUCAACUGGAACAGGCAAAGGAAUGUCAAAUGGACGAGGCGUUGAUUCGUAGCAGCAAACUGGCGCUUCUUUACGAAAAGGAAGAAGAGGAGAGAAGAAAAAAAAUAAAUCAAGAGAUAAAUACCUUCAGGCAGGUUCACCAGCGUCCAGAAUGUCGUCGUGACUUCGACCUGAAUGACCCUGACAUCCUGAAAAAAUUAAUUCCAGUUAACAAUGAUGAUCGUGACUUGGGUCUGGCGUCGGCACAAAAAUUUGAAGGCGAAGACACCGACUUACCUGAGAGAUUGAAGAUUCAAAAGGAACAGAUGCAAUCUUGGUUGGAGCAGCAAAUUAUAGAGCGUCGCGCAUCAGAGAAGGAGCGUCGGGACGCCGAGCAAGCUUAUCAAGACGCCGUAGUAGCUCGAGAUAAGAGAGCACUGGAUCUGGAACGAAUGGAACAAGAAUGUCGGCGUAGAUUAAACGAAGCUACAUUAAGAUUUAAUUGUGCUUUGGCACAAGAACAGGAACAUAGAAGACGUUGUAUGAGUAUCCAAGAGGAGGAAGACAACCAAGCGGAAAUCUACAAUCAUGUCACGGGCGAUUUCCUUACCGAAGCCAAGGAACAGGCUGAGAGUAAUCGUGGACCCCAUAAACCUUUAGCUUCUCGUUACAAGGGUAUGACCUCGGAGGAACUUAAGAUCUUCCGGGACGAGCAGGCACGACAAAUGCAGGAAAUCCUUAAAAUUAAACUGGAAGAAAAGAAACAGAACGAGGACUGGGAUAAACUAAUGAGUAGCAACGCGCGAGCCGCUGAAAAUUAUCAACGCGAAUUGGACCGUAAGAAAACUGACCUGAGAAAGAAAAUUGCCGAAGAAAAUCUGCGACUGGCUGAACAACAGAAAUCCUAUCAGGAAUAUCUUAACAGAGUUGUGUACAAGAACAAGCCAAGUCCUGAAUUCUUUGAGCAGUUCAAUAAAAGCACCAGAUAAGUAUAAAGAUCACUAUUUUAACAAUGUAAUUUUACCUUUUCUAUGGUAUGUAUACGUGGCUUAUAAAAUAAAGUCUUGAACGAAUGUGGAUUCAUGUGGUAGAUUUAUUUGUUUUUCACACUUGCGAGAAAUGGCGUGCGAAUGGGAAGAGUCGUUGAUGGUGUUCAACGGCAUUAAUGCUACGGGUUAAUUUAAGAAUCAGUAAAUAAUGCAUGCUUAGUCACGUCCUCGUAGUACGAAUAUUAUACUGAUACUAUAGUACAGUGGCGACAUUCUACGGUAUAUAAAUGAAUCUACAGAAUUUGAAAGUCCACCAUAUCUUUUACCACCAUGGAUAAGGAAGAAUUCCAUGUGACAUCCAUCUUUUUAAAUGUUGUUCCAAGCAGCUUCAGUUCUUGCUGUCAAAAUUUACGGCAGUAUUGUGCAUACUUUUUUGCAAUAUUCCACCGACAAAUAUUUUUCUCAGCAUGAAUUAAAUUACACGUCUAAUAAGUUGGAUGUUGCUGCAUUGUAAACAGGGGUCAUGUUGAAUGAAAAAAUUAUGGGGUCUGAACGAGAGCUUGCAUCGAAAAUGAGCGUUCUUGGAGAAAGCUCAAUUACGCAAGAGUACUCUGCUAUCGUGGAAGCUCUUAAACAAGAAUUGAAUGUAUGCAAGGCGGAACAAACGAUGCUUCGAACAGAACUGGAGUGUCUUAGGAAGGAAACAAAGAGUGCUGGUGAUAUAGCGCAAGAAUGUUUUUCUCAUGGUCAAUGGGAGGGAUGUAAUAGUCAUGAAACUAAUAAGGAGAUGAUACUAAACCUACAGAAACGUAUUGCUAUUGUGCAAAUGGAAAAAGAUUCUGUUUUUCAACUUUGGCAAAUGGCAUUGAAGGCUGUGGAUAUUCUAGAGGAGGAGCUCAAAGUAUUU